GUGAACCUGCUGCUGGAUCAUUACACCGUUACCGUGAUGGUCAAACGACAUGUGAAGAGCCGGAGUAGCAGAACUCUGGCCCGCAGCCUAGAGCUGCGUAACGGCUUACGCUGGUGUCUGUGUGUUGCUGAGCAGUUGUGGAAAACGUCCGUGGCUGUGAUGAGGCGACAUGGUAGGGCCACCUCUCGGGGUGGCUUAAGACUUAAUGAGCCCUGUGCGGGACGCCAGCACCCCUUUUUUGAAUUCAAUUUUUUCACGCAUGAAACGUUCUAGUCUCAUCGGUGGAUCACUCGGCUCGUGGAUCGAUGAAGAACGCAGCUAGCUGCGAUAUCUAGUGUGAACUGCAGAAACAUUGAACACUGAGAAUUUGAAUGCAAAUUGCGCCAAUGGAGUUAUAUUCAAUGGCACGUCUGGUUCAGGGUCAUUUCAAAAAAUCCGCAAAAAGUGCGGUGACAAAACGAAUAUGUGCGUUUGCUUGAAUAGCACAAAACUAUUUGGUCAUUGGUGAAGGUUGUUUGGCGGGCAGGAAACAAUUUCUUCUAUUGCCUUAUGCCGCCUCACCGUUGACUGAAUGGGCUUUGUGGUCCUUGCUGACUUCAAUUUUGACCUGAACUCAGUCGUGAUCACCCGCUGAACUUAAG
rnacentral:rRNA from 1 species